UUCGGCAGCCGCGAGGGGCGCGUGCCGGCCCUCGGCCCGCUUCCCGCCUGCCCUCAGAGCGGCCGAGCCGAGCCGCAGGCCCUGCCUCGCUGCCGGGGCCCGGUGCGGAGCGGCAGGGCGCCCAGGGCACUGUCAGCACGGAGCGCUGCGGCACCCGCCUGCGGUACUAACCAGCGUGCUGCUCAGCCUGCCAAGCGGCGGGGCCGGUGUGCCUUGCGCCCGCUUGUCCCGGGGACCGAAGUGAUCCAAAUCGGCCUCUUCCGCACCGCUGAGAGGGCUGUGCUCUUGGGCUGUCACUGUCAAACACACGGAGGUAAUACGGCUUUCUCUGGGAAACAGUGUGGUUAGAGGAGGCUGGCAGCCCCGCUCCGUCUCGGAUGUCCGGAUGCGCAUGAGCCUCCCUGCUGCUCUCCUGGCUCAGCGUCUGCUGCGAAGCAAGCUGCGCGGUAUUUAAAAUGUCUUUGCCCUGCAUUUGUACUGCCAUUACUGCCCGGGACACUGCCAUACCUCUGCACUGCAUCAUGCUGCGGCUCGCAGACUGGCCACUGAUGAAAUAACAGCUAAGCAGACAAUGUGUAUUCCUCAGCUUUUGUGGCAGCAUUCUCAGCUGUCACUGCACCCACAGUCAAGUGGAACACUGGAAAGCAAUUCUGUCUGGAGGCAGAGCACCAAGGAUGGCACAGCAGUGCCAAAGCUGCAGCAGAACAUUGGCUUGUACAUUAACCACCACUGCUUAGGGCAUGGAUGAGCAGCAGCCUCAGCACCCAGAGGAAGGAACACCCAGAAAUGUUAUAUGGAGGGUAUAAUUUUAAGACCAAAUACUGAGUUUCAGCCCCAUGGACUGGAUGGAAAUAAGUAACAGAAGGCUUCCUGAGGAACCUAUUCCUCCAUCAUCCUCCAGCUGAUCCAAUGGAGCUCGACUGAAAUAUUUGGUGGCAAGAGAAGGACACAGCCAGCAGCUUCUGCAUCUGCCCUCACACAUGGACAGGAGGGCAGUCAAAGCCAGGAGGGCACAAGGGCAGAGCACACCAAGCUCACUCAGGUUUCUGUUCCAUUUCUGUUCUGCUAAAGGGUAGGAGCCCCAGCUGACCAGCCUGCUACUGAGCCAAAGCUGGGGUGGAAAUGAAAGAGAUGGAACAUUGCCCUGCACCUACAGAGGGGAGCAAAUAGGAAGGGAGGGGGAAAUGCUUGCUGCAUAGCAGUGGCUGUAAAGCAGUAAGUAUUAGCAGGAGUUUUGCAUGUUCACAGUAGCCUUCCACAUACCCAGCCCCUAAGUCUCUGUGUGCUGAGCCAGUGGCUUGCUGUAGCAUGCAGCAAAUGCUGAGCGAUGCAUUACCUCUCCUGUAAUGGAUUGAUUAUUUCAACCAUACUUGCCUUGAUGUGAUGAAAUAAAUGACUGCAAUUUUGCUAAUA